UGGGGAAUAUUGCACAAUGGGGGAAACCCUGAUGCAGCAACGCCGCGUGAGUGAUGACGGCCUUCGGGUUGUAAAGCUCUGUCUUCAGGGACGAUAAUGACGGUACCUGAGGAGGAAGCCACGGCUAACUACGUGCC
rnacentral:rRNA from 1 species